rnacentral:rRNA from 1 species
UGGGGAAUAUUGGACAAUGGGGGGAACCCUGAUCCAGCCAUGCCGCGUGUGUGAAGAAGGCCCUCGGGUUGUAAAGCACUUUCAGUGAGGAAGAACGCCUGGUGGUUAAUACCCAUCAGGAAAGACAUCACUCACAGAAGAAGCACCGGCUAACUCCGUGCCAGCAGCCGCGGUAAUACGGAGGGUGCGAGCGUUAAUCGGAAUUACUGGGCGUAAAGCGCGCGUAGGUGGCUUGAUAAGCCGGUUGUGAAAGCCCCGGGCUCAACCUGGGAACGGCAUCCGGAACUGUCAGGCUAGAGUGCAGGAGAGGAAGGUAGAAUUCCCGGUGUAGCGGUGAAAUGCGUAGAGAUCGGGAGGAAUACCAGUGGCGAAGGCGGCCUUCUGGACUGACACUGACGCUGAGGUGCGAAAGCGUGGGUAGCAAACA